UUGCGGCCACAUCACAUUGAAACAGUGGUUCACGUACGAUCACCGAAGUUAAGCAACGUCGAACCUGGUCAGUAUCUAGAUGAGUGACCACUUGAGAAUACCAGCUGCUGUAAG